rnacentral:rRNA from 1 species
UAUCCGGAAUUAUUGGGCGUAAAGAGCUCGUAGGCGGUUUGUCGCGUCUGCCGUGAAAGUCCGGGGCUCAACUCCGGAUCUGCGGUGGGUACGGGCAGACUAGAGUGAUGUAGGGGAGACUGGAAUUCCUGGUGUAGCGGUGAAAUGCGCAGAUAUCAGGAGGAACACCGAUGGCGAAGGCAGGUCUCUGGGCAUUAACUGACGCUGAGGAGCGAAAGCAUGGGGAGCGAACAGGAUUAGAUACCCUGGUAGUCCAUGCCGUAAACGUUGGGCACUAGGUGUGGGGGACAUUCCACGUUUUCCGCGCCGUAGCUAACGCAUUAAGUGCCCCGCCUGGGGAGUACGGCCGCAAGGCUAAAACUCAAAGGAAUUGACGGGGGCCCGCACAAGCGGCGGAGCAUGCGGAUUAAUUCGAUGCAACGCGAAGAACCUUACCAAGGCUUGACAUGAACCGGUAACGC